GAUUAGCGGCGGACGGGUGAGUAACACGUGGGCAACCUGCCUAUAAGACUGGGAUAACUUCGGGAAACCGGAGCUAAUACCGGAUACGUUCUUUUCUCGCAUGAGAGAAGAUGGAAAGACGGUUUACGCUGUCACUUAUAGAUGGGCCCGCGGCGCAUUAGCUAGUUGGUGAGGUAAUGGCUCACCAAGGCGACGAUGCGUAGCCGACCUGAGAGGGUGAUCGGCCACACUGGGACUGAGACACGGCCCAGACUCCUACGGGAGGCAGCAGUAGGGAAUCUUCCGCAAUGGACGAAAGUCUGACGGAGCAACGCCGCGUGAACGAAGAAGGCCUUCGGGUCGUAAAGUUCUGUUGUUAGGGAAGAACAAGUACCAGAGUAACUGCUGGUACCUUGACGGUACCUAACCAGAAAGCCACGGCUAACUACGUGCCAGCAGCCGCGGUAAUACGUAGGUGGCAAGCGUUGUCCGGAAUUAUUGGGCGUAAAGCGCGCGCAGGUUACCAGGUCUUGACAUCCUCUGACAACCCUAGAGAUAGGGCUUUCCCCUUCGGGGGACAGAGUGACAGGUGGUGCAUGGUUGUCGUCAGCUCGUGUCGUGAGAUGUUGGGUUAAGUCCCGCAACGAGCGCAACCCUUGAUCUUAGUUGCCAGCAUUCAGUUGGGCACUCUAAGGUGACUGCCGGUGACAAACCGGAGGAAGGUGGGGAUGACGUCAAAUCAUCAUGCCCCUUAUGACCUGGGCUACACACGUGCUACAAUGGAUGGUACAAAGGGCUGCAAACCUGCGAAGGUAAGCGAAUCCCAUAAAGCCAUUCUCAGUUCGGAUUGCAGGCUGCAACUCGCCUGCAUGAAGCCGGAAUCGCUAGUAAUCGCGGAUCAGCAUGCCGCGGUGAAUACGUUCCCGGGCCUUGUACACACCGCCCGUCACA
rnacentral:rRNA from 2 species